UGACGGUAUCAUAUGAAUAAGCACCGGCUAACUCCGUGCCAGCAGCCGCGGUAAUACGGGGGGUGCAAGCGUUACUCGGAAUCACUGGGCGUAAAGAGCAUGUAGGCGGGUGAAUAAGUUGGAAGUGAAAUCCUAUAGCUUAACUAUAGAACUGCUUCCAAAACUGUUCGCCUAGAGUAUGGGAGAGGUAGAUGGAAUUUCUGGUGUAGGGGUAAAAUCCGUAGAGAUCAGAAGGAAUACCGAUUGCGAAGGCGAUCUACUGGAACAUUACUGACGCUCAGAUGCGAAAGCGUGGGGAGCAAACAGGAUUAGAUACCCUGGUAGUCCACGCCCUAAACGAUGUACACUAGUUGUUGCUAUACUAGAUAUGGCAGUAAUGCAGUUAACACUUUAAGUGUACCGCCUGGGGAGUACGGUCGCAAGAUUAAAACUCAAAGGAAUAGACGGGGACCCGCACAAGCGGUGGAGCAUGUGGUUUAAUUCGACGAUACGCGAAAAACCUUACCUGGCCUUGACAUAGUAGGAAUCUUUAAGAGAUUAGAGAGUGCUAGCUUGCUAGAACCUACAUACAGGUGCUGCACGGCUGUCGUCAGC
rnacentral:rRNA from 1 species